UACGUAGGGUGCAAGCGUUAAUCGGAAUUACUGGGCGUAAAGCGUGCGCAGGCGGUGAUGUAAGACAGUUGUGAAAUCCCCGGGCUCAACCUGGGAACUGCAUCUGUGACUGCAUCGCUGGAGUACGGUAGAGGGGGAUGGAAUUCCGCGUGUAGCAGUGAAAUGCGUAGAUAUGCGGAGGAACACCGAUGGCGAAGGCAAUCCCCGUGGACCUGUACUGACGCUCAUGCACGAAAGGCGUGG
rnacentral:rRNA from 1 species